UACGUAGGGGGCAAGCGUUGUCCGGAAUCAUUGGGCGUAAAGAGCGUGUAGGCGGCCCGAUAAGUCCGCUGUGAAAGUCCAGGGCUCAACCCUGGAAUGCCGGUGGAUACUGUCGUGACUCGAGUCCGGUAGGGGAGUGUGGAAUUCCCGGUGUAGCGGUGAAAUGCGCAGAGAUCGGGAGGAACACCCGUAGCGAAGGCGGCACUCUGGGCCGGUACUGACGCUGAGGAGCGAAAGCGUGGGGAGCAAACAGG
rnacentral:rRNA from 1 species